rnacentral:rRNA from 1 species
UACGUAGGGUGCGAGCGUUGUCCGGAAUUAUUGGGCGUAAAGAGCUCGUAGGCGGUUUGUCGCGUCUGCUGUGAAAACUCGGGGCUUAACCCCGGGCCUGCAGUGGGUACGGGCAGACUAGAGUGCGGUAGGGGAGACUGGAAUUCCUGGUGUAGCGGUGAAAUGCGCAGAUAUCAGGAGGAACACCGGUGGCGAAGGCGGGUCUCUGGGCAGUAACUGACGCUGAGGAGCGAAAGCGUGGGGAGCGAACAGG